GAUGAACGCUGGCGGCGUGCUUAACACAUGCAAGUCGAGCGAGAAGUUUUGAAAAGAUUCUUCGGAUGAAAUUUAAAAUGGAAAGCGGCGGACGGGUGAGUAACGCGUAGGCAACCUGCCCCAUACAAAGGGAUAGCAUUUGGAAACGAAUAUUAAUACCUUAUGAAACUUAACUAGUGCAUGCUAGGUAGGUCAAAGAUUUAUCGGUAUGGGAUGGGCCUGCGUCUGAUUAGCUAGUUGGUGAGGUAACGGCUCACCAAGGCGACGAUCAGUAGCCGACCUGAGAGGGUGAACGGCCGAAUUGGAACGGAGACACGGGCCAAACUCCUUCGGGAAGCAGCAGGGGGGAAUAUUGCACAAUGGGGGAAACCCUGAUGCAGCAACGCCGCGUGAACGAUGAAGGCCUUUGGGUCGUAAAGUUCUGUUCUAGGUGAUGAAAACUGACAGUAACCUAGGAGAAAGCCCCGGCUAACUCCGUG
rnacentral:rRNA from 1 species